rnacentral:tRNA from 1 species
GGAAAUAUGCCCGAACUACAAGGAUUACUUUGAUAGAGUAAACAAUAGAGACUCAAACCCUCUUAUUUCCU